rnacentral:tRNA from 1 species
CAUCAGAUGACUGAAAGUAAGUGUAGGUCUUUUAAACCUACAAUAGUAAUUAACGACUACUUCUGAUGA